AGAGUUUGAUCCUGGCUCAGGAUGAACGCUGGCGGCGUGCCUAAUACAUGCAAGUCGAGCGAACGGACGAGAAGCUUGCUUCUCUGAUGUUAGCGGCGGACGGGUGAGUAACACGUGGAUAACCUACCUAUAAGACUGGGAUAACUUCGGGAAACCGUAGCUAAUACCGGAUAAUAUUUUGAACCGCAUGGUUCAAAAGUGAAAGACGGUCUUGCUGUCACUUAUAGAUGGAUCCGCGCUGCAUUAGCUAGUUGGUAAGGUAACGGCUUACCAAGGCAACGAUGCAUAGCCGACCUGAGAGGGUGAUCGGCCACACUGGAACUGAGACACGGUCCAGACUCCUACGGGAGGCAGCAGUAGGGAAUCUUCCGCAAUGGGCGAAAGCCUGACGGAGCAACGCCGCGUGAGUGAUGAAGGUCUUCGGAUCGUAAAACUCUGUUAUUAGGGAAGAACAUAUGUGUAAGUAACUGUGCACAUCUUGACGGUACCUAAUCAGAAAGCCACGGCUAACUACGUGCCAGCAGCCGCGGUAAUACGUAGGUGGCAAGCGUUAUCCGGAAUUAUUGGGCGUAAAGCGCGCGUAGGCGGUUUUUUAAGUCUGAUGUGAAAGCCCACGGCUCAACCGUGGAGGGUCAUUGGAAACUGGAAAACUUGAGUGCAGAAGAGGAAAGUGGAAUUCCAUGUGUAGCGGUGAAAUGCGCAGAGAUAUGGAGGAACACCAGUGGCGAAGGCGACUUUCUGGUCUGUAACUGACGCUGAUGUGCGAAAGCGUGGGGAUCAAACAGGAUUAGAUACCCUGGUAGUCCACGCCGUAAACGAUGAGUGCUAAGUGUUAGGGGGUUUCCGCCCCUUAGUGCUGCAGCUAACGCAUUAAGCACUCCGCCUGGGGAGUACGACCGCAAGGUUGAAACUCAAAGGAAUUGACGGGGACCCGCACAAGCGGUGGAGCAUGUGGUUUAAUUCGAAGCAACGCGAAGAACCUUACCAAAUCUUGACAUCCUUUGACAACUCUAGAGAUAGAGCCUUCCCCUUCAGGGGACAAAGUGACAGGUGGUGCAUGGUUGUCGUCAGCUCGUGUCGUGAGAUGUUGGGUUAAGUCCCGCAACGAGCGCAACCCUUAAGCUUAGUUGCCAUCAUUAAGUUGGGCACUCUAAGUUGACUGCCGGUGACAAACCGGAGGAAGGUGGGGAUGACGUCAAAUCAUCAUGCCCCUUAUGAUUUGGGCUACACACGUGCUACAAUGGACAAUACAAAGGGCAGCGAAACCGCGAGGUCAAGCAAAUCCCAUAAAGUUGUUCUCAGUUCGGAUUGUAGUCUGCAACUCGACUACAUGAAGCUGGAAUCGCUAGUAAUCGUAGAUCAGCAUGCUACGGUGAAUACGUUCCCGGGUCUUGUACACACCGCCCGUCACACCACGAGAGUUUGUAACACCCGAAGCCGGUGGAGUAACCUUUUAGGAGCUAGCCGUCGAAGGUGGGACAAAUGAUUGGGGUGAAGUCGUAACAAGGUAGCCGUAUCGGAAGGUGCGGCUGGAUCACCU
rnacentral:rRNA from 1 species